rnacentral:rRNA from 1 species
GUCGAACGAUGAAGCCCUUCGGGGUGGAUUAGUGGCGAACGGGUGAGUAACACGUGGGCAAUCUGCCCUUCACUCUGGGACAAGCCCUGGAAACGGGGUCUAAUACCGGAUACGACUGCGGAAGGCAUCUUCUGCGGUGGAAAGCUCCGGCGGUGAAGGAUGAGCCCGCGGCCUAUCACCUUGUUGGUGGGGUAAUGGCCUACCAAGGCGACGACGGGUAGCCGGCCUGAGAGGGCGACCGGCCACACUGGGACUGAGACACGGCCCAGACUCCUACGGGAGGCAGCAGUGGGGAAUAUUGCACAAUGGGCGAAAGCCUGAUGCAGCGACGCCGCGUGAGGGAUGACGGCCUUCGGGUUGUAAACCUCUUUCAGCAGGGAAGAAGCGAAAGUGACGGUACCUGCAGAAGAAGCGCCGGCUAACUACGUGCCAGCAGCCGCGGUAAUACGUAGGGCGCAAGCGUUGUCCGGAAUUAUUGGGCGUAAAGAGCUCGUAGGCGGCUUGUCACGUCGGAUGUGAAAGCCCGAGGCUUAACCUCGGGUCUGCAUUCGAUACGGGCUAGCUAGAGUGUGGUAGGGGAGAUCGGAAUUCCUGGUGUAGCGGUGAAAUGCGCAGAUAUCACGAGGAACACCGGUGGCGAACGCGGAUCUCUGGGCCAUUACUGACGCUUAGGAGCGAAAGCGUGGGGAGCGAACAGGAUUAGAUACCCUGGUAGUCCACGCCGUAAACGUUGGGAACUAGGUGUUGGCGACAUUCCACGUCGUC